CCUACGGGGGGCAGCAGUGGGGAAUAUUGGACAAUGGGGGCAACCCUGAUCCAGCCAUGCCGCGUGUGUGAAGAAGGCCCUCGGGUUGUAAAGCACUUUCAGUGAGGAAGAACGCCUGGUGGUUAAUACCCAUCAGGAAAGACAUCACUCACAGAAGAAGCACCGGCUAACUCCGUGCCAGCAGCCGCGGUAAUACGGAGGGUGUGAGCGUUAAUCGGAAUUACUGGGCGUAAAGCGCGUGUAGGUGGCUUGAUAAGCCGGUUGUGAAAGCCCCGGGCUCAACCUGGGAACGGCAUCCGGAACUGUCAAGCUAGAGUGCAGGAGAGGAAGGUAGAAUUCCCGGUGUAGCGGUGAAAUGCGUAGAGAUCGGGAGGAAUACCAGUGGCGAAGGCGGCCUUCUGGACUGACACUGACACUGAGGUGCGAAAGCGUGGGUAGCAAACAGGAUUAGAUACCCGAGUAGUC
rnacentral:rRNA from 1 species